rnacentral:rRNA from 1 species
AUGAGCGCUGGCGGCGUGCCUAAUACCUGCAAGUCGAGCGAACGGACGAGAAGCUUGCUUCUCUGAUGUUAGCGGCGGACGGGUGAGUAACACGUGGAUAACCUACCUAUAAGACUGGGAUAACUUCGGGAAACCGGAGCUAAUACCGGAUAAUAUUUUGAACCGCAUGGUUCAAAAGUGAAAGACGGUCUUGCUGUCACUUAUAGAUGGAUCCGCGCUGCAUUAGCUAGUUGGUAAGGUAACGGCUUACCAAGGCAACGAUGCAUAGCCGACCUGAGAGGGUGAUCGGCCACACUGGAACUGAGACACGGUCCAGACUCCUACGGGAGGCAGCAGUAGGGAAUCUUCCGCAAUGGGCGAAAGCCUGACGGAGCAACGCCGCGUGAGUGAUGAAGGUCUUCGGAUCGUAAAACUCUGUUAUUAGGGAAGAACAUAUGUGUAAGUAACUGUGCACAUCUUGACGGUACCUAAUCAGAAAGCCACGGCUAACUACGUG